AGGAUUUUUUUUUUAAUUUCAAACUGGUUUACCCGAAAAUUGAAAGAAUUGAAAAAAACUGAUUAAAAUAAUACCAACUUUUAAUGGCUGCCAGUAUACGAUAGAAGAAUUUCAUAAUUUUUAUGAAAAGAUUCAAAAAACAGCCAAAUAACAAGAAAAAUUGCAGUUCGAAUCUUAAUAUCCGAAACAUCAAAAAUGUUACAUGUUUGGAAUAUUUAACAACAAAUGCCAUUUCAUUCAUAUUUUGGUGAUAAACAAUUGGUGAAAAAUUUUUGUAUACAUUUCCAUCAUCACAGAUGUAUUUGCUUCCAAUUAAUAAUAAAUAAUAAUGUGAUAACGACAACAUAUGUGAGCCAAAUUUCACAACCUAAAAGCAAUGUUAAAAUGUUUCCAUUAUCAAAAGUGAUGUUGGAAAAAAAUUCUUUGAAUUUCUUUGAAUUAGUUUAAUUAAUUUUUUAUUAUAUUUGUUUGAAUUCUGUAAUCAGAUUUUAAUGAAAUAUACUUCACGAUAAUUGCAGAAAACUUAUUCAAAGAAAAAUAAAAUAAUUUCAUCCUU